rnacentral:rRNA from 1 species
AGAGUUUGAUUAUGGCUCAGAUUGAACGCUGGCGGCAGGCCUAACACAUGCAAGUCGAACGGUAACAGGAAGCAGCUUGCUGCUUUGCUGACGAGUGGCGGACGGGUGAGUAAUGUCUGGGAAACUGCCUGAUGGAGGGGGAUAACUACUGGAAACGGUAGCUAAUACCGCAUAACGUCGCAAGACCAAAGAGGGGGACCUUAGGGCCUCUUGCCAUCGGAUGUGCCCAGAUGGGAUUAGCUAGUAGGUGGGGUAACGGCUCACCUAGGCGACGAUCCCUAGCUGGUCUGAGAGGAUGACCAGCCACACUGGAACUGAGACACGGUCCAGACUCCUACGGGAGGCAGCAGUGGGGAAUAUUGCACAAUGGGCGCAAGCCUGAUGCAGCCAUGCCGCGUGUAUGAAGAAGGCCUUCGGGUUGUAAAGUACUUUCAGCGGGGAGGAAGGGAGUAAAGUUAAUACCUUUGCUCAUUGACGUUACCCGCAGAAGAAGCACCGGCUAACUCCGUGCCAGCAGCCGCGGUAAUACGGAGGGUGCAAGCGUUAAUCGGAAUUACUGGGCGUAAAGCGCACGCAGGCGGUUUGUUAAGUCAGAUGUGAAAUCCCCGGGCUCAACCUGGGAACUGCAUCUGAUACUGGCAAGCUUGAGUCUCGUAGAGGGGGGUAGAAUUCCAGGUGUAGCGGUGAAAUGCGUAGAGAUCUGGAGGAAUACCGGUGGCGAAGGCGGCCCCCUGGACGAAGACUGACGCUCAGGUGCGAAAGCGUGGGGAGCAAACAGGAUUAGAUACCCUGGUAGUCCACGCCGUAAACGAUGUCGACUUGGAGGUUGUGCCCUUGAGGCGUGGCUUCCGGAGCUAACGCGUUAAGUCGACCGCCUGGGGAGUACGGCCGCAAGGUUAAAACUCAAAUGAAUUGACGGGGGCCCGCACAAGCGGUGGAGCAUGUGGUUUAAUUCGAUGCAACGCGAAGAACCUUACCUGGUCUUGACAUCCACGGAAGUUUUCAGAGAUGAGAAUGUGCCUUCGGGAACCGUGAGACAGGUGCUGCAUGGCUGUCGUCAGCUCGUGUUGUGAAAUGUUGGGUUAAGUCCCGCAACGAGCGCAACCCUUAUCCUUUGUUGCCAGCGGUCCGGCCGGGAACUCAAAGGAGACUGCCAGUGAUAAACUGGAGGAAGGUGGGGAUGACGUCAAGUCAUCAUGGCCCUUACGACCAGGGCUACACACGUGCUACAAUGGCGCAUACAAAGAGAAGCGACCUCGCGAGAGCAAGCGGACCUCAUAAAGUGCGUCGUAGUCCGGAUUGGAGUCUGCAACUCGACUCCAUGAAGUCGGAAUCGCUAGUAAUCGUGGAUCAGAAUGCCACGGUGAAUACGUUCCCGGGCCUUGUACACACCGCCCGUCACACCAUGGGAGUGGGUUGCAAAAGAAGUAGGUAGCUUAACCUUCGGGAGGGCGCUUACCACUUUGUGAUUCAUGACUGGGGUGAAGUCGUAACAAGGU